GCAGGGGUCUUCAAACUAUGGCCCUCCAGAUGUUCAUGGACUACAAUUCCCAUCAUCCCUUGCCAGCAUGGUCAAGUGGUAGGGCUCAUGGGAAUUGUAGUCUAUGAACAUCUGGAGGGCCAUAGUUGAAG